CAAGGCACAGGGGGAGAAGUGUAACUUUGCCUACAUCACGCCCUUCCAGGCUUCUGUAGCGUGUCACACUACUUCCCAGAAGACAGAGAUGCACAAAAAGCAUGAGUAAUGUUUAAGAGAAAGGCUCAGGAAGGGAUAGGGAAGGAAGCAAGCAGGUGGCAAGAAGAUGAGUAAGCGGAGGCCAGAGGCUGGUGAGGCCGGGGAGGCUUGGAGGCGCAUCUGCACCGCAGUAGGGGGUUGGGGGUGGGGUGGACCUCCACUUCACCCGGAAGCUGCCAGGCCUUGGAAGGGACCACAUGUGGGCACAUGCCUAACAGUCCACCAGCUACAAUAACUGGGGCAGAUCAAGUUGUUCUUCUGCUUUAAGAGUCUGAAAGUCCACAGAGAAGCAACAUGAAUGAAGAGGAAAAAAAGGAAACAGGAAGCAGGCAGACAGAAACCAGAGGAAUUACUGCCAUGGAACUCAAUUUAUCACAAAAACUGGUUAAAAAAAAAAAGUUCGAUAUUUGAAAAACCAUUCAGACUCUCUGAGAUUUGGCUUCUUAUAAAAAGAGAUCUUGGAUUUUAA